rnacentral:rRNA from 1 species
UGGGGAAUAUUGGACAAUGGGCGAAAGCCUGAUCCAGCCAUGCCGCGUGUGUGAAGAAGGCCUUAUGGUUGUAAAGCACUUUAAGCGAGGAGGAGGGUACUGGUAUUAAUACUACCAGGUACUGGACGUUACUCGCAGAAUAAGCACCGGCUAACUCUGUGCCAGCAGCCGCGGUAAUACAGAGGGUGCGAGCGUUAAUCGGAAUUACUGGGCGUAAAGCGCGCGUAGGUGGUUCGUUAAGUUGAAUGUGAAAGCCCCGGGCUCAACCUGGGAACUGCAUCCAAAACUGGCGAGCUAGAGUAGGGCAGAGGGUGGUGGAAUUUCCUGUGUAGCGGAGAAAUGCGUAGAUAUAGGAAGGAACACCAGUGGCGAAGGCGACCACCUGGGCUCAUACUGACACUGAGGUGCGAAAGCGUGGGGAGCAAACAGG